rnacentral:rRNA from 1 species
GCCAGACUCCUACGGGAGGCAGCAGUGGGGAAUAUUGCACAAUGGGGGGAACCCUGAUGCAGCGACGCCGCGUGAGUGAAGAAGUAUCUCGGUACGUAAAGCUCUCUCAGCAGGGAAGAAAGAAAUGACGGUACCUGACUAAGAAGCCCCGGCUAACUACGUGCCAGCAGCCACGGUAAUACGUAGGGGGCAAGCGUUAUCCGGAUUUACUGGGUGUAAAGGGAGCGUAGACGGCGAUGCAAGUCUGAAGUGAAAGGCGGGGGCGCAACCCCCGGACUGCUUUGGAAACUGUAUAGCUGGAGUGCAGGAGAGGUAAGUGGAAUUCCUAGUGUAGCGGUGAAAUGCGUAGAUAUUAGGAGGAACACCAGUGGCGAAGGCGGCUUACUGGACUGUAACUGACGUUGAGGCUCGAAAGCGUGGGGAGCAAACAGGAUUAGAUACCCUUGUAAU